GUCAAAAUAAUUGGAAUGUGUAAGUGUGUGUGCCUCGAAUGUAUAUUACACUGAGUUUACUUUUGCUUCUCGAUUUCGUCUACGUAAUUCCUGUCUAUCCCACUAUUAUGUCAUAGGCCAAAUGUGUUAGAUUUCAAUUAAAAUGUUUAGUUAAACAGAU